UACGAAGGGGGGCUAGCGUUGCUCGGAAUCACUGGGCGUAAAGGGCGCGUAGGCGGCCAAGUAAGUUGGGGGUGAAAGCCCGUGGCUCAACCACGGAAUUGCCUUCGAUACUGCUUGGCUUGAGACCGGAAGAGGUGAGUGGAACUGCGAGUGUAGAGGUGAAAUUCGUAGAUAUUCGCAAGAACACCAGUGGCGAAGGCGGCUCACUGGUCCGGAUCUGACGCUGAGGCGCGAAAGCGUGGGGAGCAAACAGGG
rnacentral:rRNA from 1 species